GUUUAGCCCCGAUAAAAGUGGAAAGCCCAAAGUCUCGUUGGCUUACAUUUUUUAUAACGACAAAGCGACCAGAGGAAGCUUUUGAAGUUAUUUUAAAAAUGUUGCCAACGGGAUGAGGACUUUUAACGGAAAGCGGGAAUAGCU
rnacentral:misc_RNA from 1 species